UACAGGCUUGAGCCACCGCACCUGGCCUAAUCCUAUUUCUUUAUUUCAUAGCCAAACAUUUUCUAAAUGAACAGCUCUAUUGUGAUACAGUUUUCAUAUGAUAAGCCUCACCCUUCAAAGUGUACAGUUGAGUAGUUUUUAGUAUAUUCAGAGUUAUGCAGCCAUUAGCACUACCUAAUUUCAGAAACUUUUCAUCUCCCCAUAAAGAAACCCUGUACCCAUUAGCAGUCACUCCCUAUACCCAUAUCCCCCACCGUUGAUCCUGGCAACCUGUGAUCUAAUUUCUAUCUCUGUAGAUUUGCCUAUCCUGGACAUUUCAUACAAAUAGAAUCAUACAAAAUGUGGCAUUUUGUGACUGACUUUUCUUUACAGUGAUUAAAAAUCAAAUGCCUGAAGAGGCUAAGCUUACCAUAGUGUUUGCUGUACAACUUUGACAACUGAGCUUUUUUAAACUUGAAAAUAUUACUGUGUCUGUAUAUGUGGCAUAUUAUACUUAGAUGACCCUUACUUCGAUUAUUAAAAUUUUUUUCCCUAGCAUUCUUGAACUGUCUCAAUAUUUAGCAGGAACCCUUUGGAGACAAAGAGCCGUAAGAAUUUGGAACACAUAUUGACAAAAUGAACGUAAUUUAAUACAGUAGUAGAGUCAACCACUUUUAGGUGUUGAUGCUGCUGAUAGUGUAUAUUAAGGAAAAGUUUACUUAUCUUAGUUUUUGUGGAAGUACUAGAACUACUUCUGUCUUGUGUUUAGAUUUCAACAAACAUUUGCAUAGGUAUUAUGUGGUUGUACAAAUGUACUUUCCUUUGACCUGAAAAUGCAAAAACUUCCUUUCUUCCCACUUUCUGAGACUCUGCAACUUUAAAGGAAGAGUGGGGUUCUUUAAAGGAAAGGUGGUGAUGGUUGGAUAAUGGGUAACAAUGUCUACAGUAUGCUUUCUUUUCUCAAAACAAGUUCCCAUCUACCAUCAGCAUUUCCAAAAUUUGAAGAUCAAGUGUGGUAUUAACUCAUUAACUAAUGACUAGACUUUGAGCAGUUGUGGAACCAGAAUCUCAGUGAGUGCCUGGAUGUUCCAAUUCUGUUAAAUCAAUGAGCGCACAUUAUAUACAAUACUCUCUUAGCCCAGUGGCAGAUUUAAGGAGUGAGAGAUAGAUUUCUAUGUUUCAGAAAUCAAAUAUACAAAGAAUAAACAUUUUUAAUCCCGUGAUUCUUUGCUCGAGUUUAAUUUUUUGGAGUGUUUUUCUUUCAGAUUUUCUUUCCUUUCCAUUAAACUUUCACUUUGAAAGCUCCCAGGGUUUGGGCAAAGCAAAUGGGAAAGACACUUGCUUGGAUUCUCCAGGGUAUGUGUUGGGUGGAGGAGCAUUAUAUAUGGAACUUCUCACAAAACAGGGCUGAAACAGUGCCUACUCGAUAGAAUCAGUCAUCAUGCAAAUAAAUGCCACCUGAGUCAAAGGCAAAGCCAGUGUGCAGCUUGGAGCAAAGAAGUUA